GUACACGCUGUGACUAGCAUAUCAAUAAGCGGAGGAAAAGAAACUAACAAGGAUUCCCCUAGUAACGGCGAGUGAAGCGGGAAGAGCUCAAAUUUGAAAUCUUAAAGGGUUUCCCUUUACGAAUUGUAGUUUAAAGAAGUGUUUUCUGUUGAGGUUUUGGUAAAAGUUCUUUGGAAUAGGACAUCAUAGAGGGUGAGAAUCCCGUAUUUGACCUUUACUUUCAACUUUGUGAUACACUUUCAAAGAGUCGGAUUGUUUGGGAAUGCAGUCCAAAAUGGGUGGUAAAUUUCAUCUAAAGCUAAAUAUUGGCGAGAGACCGAUAGCGAACAAGUACCGUGAGGGAAAGAUGAAAAGAACUUUGAAAAGAGAGUUAAACAGUACGUGAAAUUGUCAAAAGGGAAGCGUUUGACACCAGUGUUGUUUUUCUGAAAAUCAAUUAAAGAACUGUUUAUGCUAAGCUGUUUAGACUUUAUCAGCUAUCUGUUUAGUUUUGAGCUUUUCUUUAAUGCACUUUUCAGUUAACAAGUCAACAUCAAUUCCUUUUGCUGUAAAAAAGCUUGAGGAAGGUGGCUUGAGAUUCGUCUUAAGUGUUUAUAGCCUCUUGCCUAUGCAGUCGGAGAGAUUGAGGUCUGCAGCGUAGAUCCCUUCGGGGCUAAAUGCAUUUGUGCUAAGUUAUAGCAUUUUAUAGACAACUUGUUGACUAUGAUUUGUCUUGUAGCUUACUCGCUUAUGUUAUUUUACCUACGCUUAGGAUGUUGAUAUGCAUGACUGAUAU
rnacentral:rRNA from 1 species